AAAAAGGAGCAGCUGCGGAAGCCCAGACACCAGGAAGGUGAGAUCUUCCACACAGAAAAAGAGAAAUACGAGAUUACAGAGCACAGUAGGAUCAAUCAGAAAGCUGUGGACUCACAAAUUUUACCAAAAAUCAAAGCUAUUCCUUAGCUCCAGGGCUACCUGUGAUCUGUGUUUGCCCUGACAAAUGGAAUUUAUCCUUACAAAUUGCUGU
rnacentral:lncRNA from 10 species